GGGACCGUGGGGUAGUGGUAUCCUAUGCGGAUGGGGUCCGUAUGACCUGAGUUCGACUCUCAGCGGUCCCA
rnacentral:tRNA from 62 species